rnacentral:rRNA from 1 species
AGGACGAACGCUGGCGGCGUGCUUAACACAUGCAAGUCGAGCGGUAAGGCCUUUCGGGGUACACGAGCGGCGAACGGGUGAGUAACACGUGGGUGAUCUGCCCUGCACUCUGGGAUAAGCCUGGGAAACUGGGUCUAAUACCGGAUAUGACCUGCUCUCGCAGUGGGGGUGGGUGGAAAGAUUUAUCGGUGCAGGAUGGGCCCGCGGCCUAUCAGCUUGGUUGGUGGGGUAAUGGCCUACCAAGGCGACGACGGGUAGCCGACCUGAGAGGGUGACCGGCCACGACUGGGACUGAGACACGGCCCAGACUCCUACGGGAGCAGCAGUGGGAAUAUGCAACAAUGGGACGAAAGCCUAGAUGCAGGCGACGGCCGCGUGAGGGAUGGAAGGCCGUUCGGGUUACGUAAACC